AACGAACGCUGGCGGCAGGCUUAACACAUGCAAGUCGAGCCGGGUGGUCUUCGGGCCAUCAGCGGCGGACGGGUUAGUAACGCGUGGGAACGUGCCCUUUGACUCUGGAAUAGCCCUGGGAAACUGGGGGUAAUACCGGAUGUGCCCUGAGGGGGAAAGAUUUAUCGGCAAGGGAUCGGCCCGACGUCUGAUUAGGUAGUUGGUGUGGUAACGGCGCACCAAGCCGACGAUCGGUAGCUGGUUUGAGAGGAUGAUCAGCAACACUGGGACUGAGACACGGCCCAGACUCCUACGGGAGGCAGCAGUGGGGAAUCUUGGACAAUGGGGGCAACCCUGAUCCAGCCAUGCCGCGUGGGUGAUGAA
rnacentral:rRNA from 1 species